GGAGUUAGCCGGUGCUUCUUCUGCGAGUAACGUCACAGAUGUAAGGUAUUAACUUACACCCUUUCCUCCUCGCUGAAAGUGCUUUACAACCCGAAGGCCUUCUUCACACACGCGGCAUGGCUGCAUCAGGGUUUCCCCCAUUGUGCAAUAUUCCCCACUGCUGCCUCCCGUAGGAGUCUGGGCCGUGUCUCAGUCCCAGUGUGGCUGAUCAUCCUCUCAGACCAGCUAGGGAUCGUCGCCUAGGUGAGCCUUUACCUCACCUACUAGCUAAUCCCACCUGGGCUUAUCCAUCAGCGCAAGGCCCGAAGGUCCCCUGCUUUCCCCCGUAGGGCGUAUGCGGUAUUAGCAGUCGUUUCCAACUGUUAUCCCCCACAAAUGGGCAAAUUCCCAGGCAUUACUCACCCGUCCGCCGCUCGUCAUCUUCAAAAGCAAGCUUUUGAAAUGUUACCGCUCGACUUGCAUGUGUUAGGCCUGCCGCCAGCGUUCAAUACUGAGCCACGAAAUACGAACCCUACGA
rnacentral:rRNA from 1 species